rnacentral:misc_RNA from 1 species
GGGGGGGGGGGGGGGGGGGGGGAGCGGCGCCGGCGAGGGGAAUAUGGAUACUGAAGAUUGAAAAUAAGAGAUGAAUUUUUGGAUUUAGGGUUUUAUUGAUAAAUUUAUGGAGGCGGGAUUUUGAAUCUGGGAAAAGUACAAGGAGCGGUUUAGUUUGGGUGGGAAAGGAAGCUCCAGAAUUUGGAUUUCGAAAUUCUUUCCUUUCUUUUU